GAGAAAGAGAGGUUUCUGCCGACGCCGAGUAAAAAAGAGAGAGAAGAGAAUAGAGGGAGAAGGGAAAGAGAGAGAAACAGGAGUCAAAGUUUCAUCAACCAAUAAUUAAGAGAUUGUCUGAUAACUUAAGGAGAGUAGUGAAUUCCACUAUCUCUGAGGAUUUUUCCGACAUAGAGAAAACGAGGAGGCGAAAAAAAAAAACAAAGAGAGAAGAGGACGUACUACAGAAGAGGGAAGAAAGGAAAGAGGAAUUGAGAGGAGACAAAUAUAUCAAGGAGGCAAUGGAAGAGACGAGUUUUGCAGUAGAAUCUCAGCCAAAACAGGAAGUUCAUAACAGGAAGUUGCAAUACAAAGCUCCUAGAACUGCUGGAUUGUAGAAAUUGCUAAACAUCAAUGCUCUUUCAAAUAAAGUUCAUGUAUGCCUUUAUUGAUUUUUAAAAAAUUUGUAUUCGAUCGUACAAGCAUAUUGUGCUUCAUUACAUAUAUAUGGAACAACUGCAAGUUCAUUCAGCCAUUUUUCAAAAAUCAGAAUGAAGAGGUGUGCCAGCAUCGUACUUCCGCAUGCGCACAAGCGUGUGCCGGAAGGCUAGUCUACUUGAUGUAUUGGUACAUUGAUGUAGCGUAGAGUUUUCUUAAAUUAAAACUACUUAAAAUUAUUUAUUUAUUCUUAGCUGUCA